CAUGCAAGUCGAGCGAUGAAGCUUCCUUCGGGAAGUGGAUUAGCGGCGGACGGGUGAGUAACACGUGGGUAACCUGCCUCAAAGUGGGGGAUAGCCUUCCGAAAGGAAGAUUAAUACCGCAUAAUAUAGGAGAAUUGCAUGAUUUUCUUAUCAAAGAUUUAUUGCUUUGAGAUGGACCCGCGGCGCAUUAGCUAGUUGGUAAGGUAACGGCUUACCAAGGCAACGAUGCGUAGCCGACCUGAGAGGGUGAUCGGCCACAUUGG
rnacentral:rRNA from 1 species